GACGAACGCUGGCGGCGUGCUUAACACAUGCAAGUCGAGCGGUAAGGCCCUUUCGGGGGUACACGAGCGGCGAACGGGUGAGUAACACGUGGGUGACCUGCCUUUAGCUCUGGGAUAAGCCUGGGAAACUGGGUCUAAUACCGGAUACGACUCCGCGGUGCAUGCUGUGGGGUGGAAAGCCUUGUGCGGCUGGAGAUGGGCCCGNGGCCUAUCAGCUUGUUGGUGGGGUGAUGGCCUACCAAGGCGACGACGGUAGCCGGCCUGAGAGGGCGACCGGCCACACUGGGACUGAGACACGGCCCAGACUCCUACGGGAGGCAGCAGUGGGAAUCUUGCGCAAUGGGCGAAAGCCUGACNCAGCGACGCCGCGUGAGGGAUGAC
rnacentral:rRNA from 1 species